AGGGGGUGCUCCAUGGGGCAGGGGAGAGAAGAAUGGAUGUUAUGGGGGACAACAAAGGAUACUGGUUCCAGAGCCACAGAGCCUGCCUCACCUGACCUCAGCUGGGGGGAAAGAGUCACACUCACAGUAGCAGCACAGAUAAAAGUCAGGACUGUAAUACAGAUGAAGGAUUUCUGGCUGUGUAAUGUGAACCAGGCCCUGGCUGAUGUGGUGAUUUGAGAGCCUCUUUCUUCAUGGACAGUUUUGCAUUCCCCAAAUAUCUGAUUGAUCACAAUGGUCCCUUCUGGCCUUGGAAUCUAUGAAAACCCGAGGCAGAGCCCAGGCUGUGCGUGCAGUGUAGACACACCCUAAGAAGCCAGGUUGGCCCCUUGCACUGGUGGUGGCUGAACUUCGGAGGUGUUCAUUUGCAGGAGAGCCAUCCGCUGACAAAAGCCACAGGCAUAGAAAAGGUCCAGCUUCUGUCGCUGUGAGUGAUGUUACAGAACCUGUAGUCCCUGAAGGAUUCUUGACUAUGAUGGUGGCCGUGGCCAUUCACUGUCCUCUGAGAUUUUCUCAUUUCCAUGAUGCUUGAGACUGAAGUGGAGCUUUGUUUCCGACUAACAGCCAGUGAGAAUGACGAGGCUCAGACCAGCCGUGGAAUGUUACCCACAUACAUAAAAGGCUAAAAAGAAAGUCAAGACCCAUUUUGUGCUUUUACCGUACACGGGAGUGGAGAGGUCUACACAUAAGCUGGGGAACUCAGUGGGGCUACGUUUAUGAGGAAGCAAAAGGAUCAGGAGUACCACCACUUGGAACAAGGGUUGUCAUUUCAGUACAGCAGGAACUACAACCCUGCUUGAAAGACAUCCUUGCUACAGAUUGAGGAGAAGUUGAAUGGUCUAAUAUUUCCAGUCCACACAGGGGACAAGAAAGAAGACAACAAGCUACAUGUGCGAGAGUCUGAAAUGAUCCUUUAAUAAAAGACAUUCAGUCUGCACUGUGGGCUAGAUGGCGGAGCGUGUGAAAUGCCUGUGAUUACAAUGAGGGCGCGUCCAGGAUAUCUGGUUUUGAUCCUUGUUUUGUUUCAGAACAUUUGGAAAUAAUAUUUCUUAGCACAAACACUCUGCAAAACAAUUGACAUUUAUUUUCUGGUUUAACAAGCAAAGAACUUAAGAUGGAUAAGUCUUAAAACAGAGUUCUCAACCUUUUUCUUUCUGAGGCCCUUCCCCCUCCCCAUAUUAUAAAAUUUCCACGGACCAUCUGUGCCACAACAACUGUUUUUCUGCAUAUAAAAGCCAGAGACAGUGUUAGAGGGCAGCAAGCAGGGUAACUGCCCGGGGCCCCAUGGAUGGGGCAGGGAUCUGGGGGGGAGAAGGUCAUGAAGGAGGGGGGGUUGGAUGGGGCAGUGAGGGGCAGUCAAGGGUGGGGGUUCCGGGGGCAGUCAGGGGACAGGGAGCGGGAGUGUGUGUGUGUGUGGAUGGAGCGGGGUCUGAGGAGCUGUCAGGGAAAGGGGGGUUGGAUGGGACAGGAGUCCUGGGGGUGGGCCAUCAGGGGGCGAGAAGCAGGGGAGGCAGAUGGGGGUAGGGACUGGGCAAUGCCCCCCUCCCCUAACCGGCCCUCCAUACAAUUUCUAAAGCCAGAUGUCGCCUUUAGGCCAAAAAGUUUGCCCAUCCCUGCUCUAAGAACUAUUUAAAUUACAGCAAAAAACAAAACAAAACAAACCCCUGCUUUCUCAUGUGACAAUAAAGACUUGCUCCAUGACAAUUCCAGAUGCAAAAUGGUACCACGUGGGCAGUUUAUUAGACUUAGAUUUAAUUACUUUGUUGAAAUUUUAUCAUUGAACAUGCAGUGUACACAAUGGCCCAGAUUCUAGUCUCACUCUGCACCAGGUGUAUCUCCACUCCCUGUGAUGCAAUGGCUUCAGAUUGGUAUUGGUGUAAGUGAGCUCAGAAUCAGACCUAAAGUAUUCAGAAUAGAGGUCAUUAGAUAUAACAUAAAUUAGGUCAUUUUUAAUAAGGCUCAAGAUCAGAGCAUUGCACCCAGUUGUAUUCCUAUAAGCAGCCCAAAAGGCAUGCACAGUUCAAAACCUGUAUACAAAGUUUCAAGGCAAGCAUCGUAUCUUCAGAUACUUGGAAGAGUCCGGCGUCGCUUAAAUAAUCGUCGUCAAAAUUCACAAACUCAAUGUCCCUUCUGUAGUGAAUUUUGCUCAUUUUCCGUAUGCACCGUGUAAACGCAUAUUUGGCUGCAGUGCUGAAGGCUUCCCAGCUAUAAACAUGUUCAAAAUGCAUGUCAAAUUUCGGGUAAUCCUACAAAUUAAAACAACAAGCAUUAUGUAAUCCAAGAGCUGUCAGCCAGCUACGAGAAGUAUAGCUAUAUAAGAAGUAUAUAGGCAAUAUGCAAGACAUGUGUUGAGUAGUAUUUCAUAUUUAUAUUACUGUAGCAGCCAGAGGCUCCAGUCAAGAUUAGGGCCACAUUGUGCUAAAUGAUAAUAUGAAACACAGACAAAAGGCUUGUCUACAUUACCAGCUGGAUCUACAGGCAGCGACUGAUCCAACGGGGGUUAAUUUAUCGCAUCUGGUCUAGAUGUGAUAAAUUGACCGCCAAGCGCUCUCCCGUCGACUCCGGUACUACAUCAGGGCGAGAGGCGCAGGUGGAGUCGACAGGAGAGCGUCAGCCGUUGACUUACCACAGUGAAGACACCGUGGUAAAUAGAUCUAAGUAUGUCACCUUCAGCUAUGUUAUUCACGUAGCUGAAGUUGCGUCACUUAGAUCGAUCCCUCCCAGUGUAGACCAGGCCAAAGAUAUAGUCUCUGCCCUGAAGAAUUUACCAUUUCAGAGAGCGAGAUCCUCGGCCCCCAUUCCAUCUAAGGCAAUGCAACCCACCUGGAAAGCUGGGGUUCCCUUGCUGUAGGGGAACUCUCAUGCUGUGAAACUGGCAUAGCUGGCUCCACAUACCUGCUCCUCUUGGUUUAAGGGGGACGGUGGAAGCAGGUUGGGGCAAAAUGGGAGCCAGGGAAGGUGGGACCAGAGCUCAGCAUGUAAUUGAAUCUCAGCCUGCUCUAACUUGCUCUGGAGGCUGGUUUGAGUCAUGCAGAACCAUCUUUGCCUGCCCCCCUCCAGCUGAGCAUUUAGAUGUAAGGACAGAGUGGCAUGAAGAGAUGGGCAGAAAGUCUUAGACAUGUAGUCCACUGAUUUGGGCUACUGCAGAUAGUGGACAGUAACCAUAUGGUUGAUUGCAUUCUGAAUAUUUACAUCUGUUGUAUGCGCAUAGUGUGUUUUUUCUUGUAGGUUUCCUUCCUCCACCCAAAUGGGCAGAGUGGUGCAUUAAAUGUUCAAAUGUUU